UACGUAGGGUGCGAGCGUUAAUCGGAAUUACUGGGCGUAAAGCGUGCGCAGGCGGUUCGCUGUGUCCGAUGUGAAAGCCCCGGGCUUAACCUGGGAAUGGCAUUGGAAACUGGCGGGCUUGAGUGCGGCAGAGGGGGGUGGAAUUCCGCGUGUAGCAGUGAAAUGCGUAGAGAUGCGGAGGAACACCAGUGGCGAAGGCGGCUCACUGGCCCGGUACUGACGCUGAGGUGCGAAAGCGUGGGGAGCAAACAGG
rnacentral:rRNA from 1 species